UACGUAGGGCGCAAGCGUUGUCCGGAAUUAUUGGGCGUGAAGAGCUCGUAGGCGGUUUGUCGCGUCUGCUGUGAAAGUCCGAGGCUCAACCUCGGAUCUGCAGUGGGUACGGGCAGACUAGAGUGUGGUAGGGAAGACUGGAAUUCCUGGUGUAGCGGUGGAAUGCGCAGAUAUCAGGAGGAACAUCAAUGGCGAAGGCAGGUCUCUGGGCCAUAACUGACGCUGAGGAGCGAAAGCGUGGGGAGCGAACAGG
rnacentral:rRNA from 1 species